UUGUUUUAAUUAUCAUUUCACGUGUUUCUCUAGACAUCUACUUCCAAGAUAAAUUCAUGUAUAUUUAUAAAUUAGGGCUAUUUUAAUUUGUGUUUAAAAAAGAAGUCUUUUCAAGCUUAUUUCAUGUCUAUUUCACUAAGAAACUUAAUACGCCUGCAUUUGGGGUUUAGUUGUACUAGCUGUUUGGGGCUGCAAGCCAACGACCGAGCAUUAACGAAGUCACGAUAAUGUUUAUUUACCAACACUUGUAAGUCAGAUUUCAAAGUGAUUUUUUUUUUUUUUUACAAUUAUUUCACGACAAUAAUAAUCGUGUUUAUCUCCGAUAAUGUAUCAAUAAGUUGCACCGAUGCGCUGCUCUCAAAAGAAGAACUGGAAAAAAAAAGAAGAAAAGAAACAAUACUAGUAAAGUAGGUCAAUUAUAAAUAGAUCUCUCGUCUUUAAUGUGUCCUGCAACAAAAAAAGCAGAUGAGUCACAAAGUCUCAGGAAUGAAAAUAUAAAAUGAAAGACCUGAAACUGAAAUGAGAUCGAACUCUAUAUGUUUUGGUUAAACCUAGACCACCUGCUGACCUUUCUAAUAGAAUAAAUAUCUAGUUGGUUAUAAACACUUUGAAUGCUUUGUUUUGUCGGUUACAAAUCCACAAUAUAAACUUAUGAUAUUUCAGGUUUGCAUAAAUAUAUAUUUUUGUAUAUUUGAAUUAUUUCUAACGUAAGAAUUUGUUAUUUAAUAAAAUGACCAUGAAUUGAUAUUAUUGAUGAAGUCAUAUGGUGACCUUCUGGUAAGAGGAGUAAAAGUAAUAUAGGUCAAAAGAACGAUUUCAAAGAAUCAUUUUGCGUUUUUUACAUAUUAAGUGCAUUUUUAAGCCUUGUAAACAAAAAAGAGGAUCAAACGAUACAUUUUUUUGUAGUUAUCAUACAAAAAAACAACAACACAUAAAUUAUUAAUAUACAUUUUAAAAUAACAAAAUUAAAUACAUAUGUGCUGAAUAUAUAAAAAUUCACCUCUCUUGGUAAUGCACUUUUCAGUGUAUGUUUGUUUGUUUUUUUACUAUCUAUAAUGAAUAGUUAUUUAGAAAAUGUAAAAAUAACUGCUUGCAUUUUUACUUUUAAAAAUUAAAUGAUUGGCUUUCAAAAAAAAGAAAAAAAAAUGAGCCGUUGCAUCAGAACAUUGAAAGUUCUAAAAUAUCAAGAUGUCGGAUUUUCAAUAUCUAUUUUAGUUUCUGUGAUCUCAACAGGACGGACGGACAGACAUCACAAAACUAAUAACACGGAGUUUCUAUUUCCUUGCAAAUAAUAUAAGGGGAAGUUAUUUAUAUGGUUCUAGGGGUUUAUUAUUGGUUAAAUAGUCUCCAUUGAUGAGACAUAAACAGGAUAUAUAAGAUAAAGUGAGUUUAUUGUGAAAGCAAUAGAAAAGAUGUAGGUGGGUGUCAGGUGGGAGGGUUGUCUCAAUACAAGAUCACGUUGGUCACAGUAAUAUCUCCUCAUACAGCCAAACAGUAGAAGAACAAAUUACAAGAAUUGGGAAAAUCUAUAAUAUAAAUUUUUUGGCCCGAGAGAUUGUUUCUUAUAUAUCCCCUUAUUUUUCAACUUGCCAACGACGAUAAAAUGUGAAAAUUUAACAUGCUCUAACUUAACUUAAGCCUAGAAUAACUAAGCCACAGUGGUUAAAUUUACACACAAAAAAAAGAAAACAACUUGUUGUUUCUACCAAAUGUGUCUUUGAAAGCCGAAAUUUUAAUGACUAAAGUAUAAAGCGUAAGUUCCUUCGCAUUAAGCACUUAUUAACACUUUUUUGGUACGCAACUUUCUUUUGUUCAGUUUUAGUAUUUAUGUUGUUUUUUUCUUCACCGUCACGGAAUGGAAGUGUUCAAGAUUAUACUUGAAAAACAAGCUUGUUUAUAUUUCAUUGAUUUCUAUAAAAUUAUU